ensembl:lncRNA
GAAUUUUUAAAAUCCAGACGGUUAACCAGAUACUUUGCGUAGCUAAAGUUCUGCUAGGUCCUCUGGCACCUAGCAGAAAUAGCAGGUCUGGGAAGGGAGUCUUGGAGAGGCAGGCAGUGGCCUGGUCUGGUCUGCAGAUGUGACAUACAAACAUGAGAUAGUAUAUGACUUUCAGUUUUGAGUGGGUGGGGAGUGUAAUGCUAUCUAUUUGAAAAGAAAACAUCAAAAGAGCAGGAGGUACUUUAGGACUGAUGAGAGGCUUCCUGUGUCCUCAGUAGUCAUGAGGAACAGUCGAGGACAGUGAUGAUGGCAAACCUUCUACAGCUUUCAGUGAUAACAGACAGCUGUGGCACGCGUGCCUCAGGUUCACCACCACUGGUCUACGAGAAUCUGUGAGGAGCACGCUGGGACCUUCCACCCACAGAUGGGCCGCCGUCAAGGAGGUGGGAAAGUUAGGGCUCUGAAGUCAAACUGCUCAAGUUCAAACCUUGUCCUGAGAGUCACCUUACCUUUCAGGGCUUCAGUUGCCCCAUGUGUGAAGUGAGCAUCCUGCAAGGGGACGGAAUGGGCUCUCCACUCUGAGAUGGUGUAGGCCAUGUUGACCCGACAGAACUUCAUUUUAGAACGUGCCUUGUGGAGUCUGGGUGCUCAGUAAAUAUGUGUUCGGUAAGUUAGUGAACAGUAAGCCCUUUCCCUGAACCUUGUCUCCCCUUCUAAUUUAUUACACCCUUUGCCACUAGCACCGUGCUUGGAAAAUCUCUGCUAAAACCGUAUGAAUCUGUCUCCUAUGUUUUGUGUGCAGCGCGUUUGUUUUUACUUUGUCAUUUUGCAAACAUUCUUCCCUCUGCGUGGGCUGCUGCCUUUCUCCAUCCAAUAAUGCACAUUUGCUUUGACAAAGUCUAGCUCAAAACCCAGACCCUCCUAUUGGUCUUCAGUGAGUGGCUCUCCUUCAUCUUUCCCUCCAGCAGCCACAGAACUGAGGCCCGCUUGCUGCAUUCACAGCACCUGAAGC